AUGUAGGUGUGUGUGCUGAGUGUUGGCCUGAUUGAGCUCCAGUUGAGGAUGCAGAGAGCAGCGGACGGUCACGCGUGUCUAGCAUGCGCUCAUACGCGGGUCUCAUCUCAUCAUGACCGGGACUCACCCCAGCAGUAGCGACAGCCCUUGAAUUAUUCAUUUCCUGGAUUUUUGGACUACUGGUGCAUUAAUUUGUCAUCAUAUGCAUAUUUUAAGAAGUAUUUCCUCUGUAAAAAGUUGAAGAGAACUGCUUUCAGUCUUGCGUUUCACUGAUGUCGUUAAAUUUAAAAAUGCAUGCUGUUAGUUGAAAGUGCAAAAACGGAAGAAAGACACGACCGACAGCUGCUGAAAUAGCACAAAAACAAGCGUAUUUAUUAAAGAACCAGCGCUAUCACUUAAGGAAAUAGACAUGUCCAGCAGAAACAUCGAGUGGGAGCACUUCGAGGAGCGCGAGAAGGGUCACCGGUCCCCGCGGGGCAGCGGCGGCUCCCAUUCCGGCUCUCGGGGAAACGGGAUCGUGCCGAGUCCCGCUCACAGCGCGCACUGUAGCUUUUACCGCACGCGCACACUGCAGUCGCUCACCUCGGAGAAGAAAGCGAAAAAAGUUCGCUUUUAUCGGAAUGGCGACAAGUAUUUCAAGGGGCUUGUGUACGCCGUGUCCGGUGACCGCUUCAGGUCUUUCGACGCGCUGCUGAUGGAGCUCACGCGCUCCCUCUCGGACAAUGUCAAUUUACCGCAGGGAGUCCGGAGCAUCUACACUGCAGAUGGAGGAAAGAAGAUCACCAGUCUGGAUGACUUGGUAGAAGGAGAAAGCUACGUAUGUGCUUCCAACGAACCUUUUCGUAAAGUGGACUACACCAAGAAUGUUAAUCCCAACUGGUCAGUCAAUGUGAAAACUGGUGCGUCCCGCUCCAUGCCAUCACUUACCGCCACUAAAAAUGAGCUGAGAGAACGAGAGAGCAAAGACUAUAUUAAGCCCAAGCUGGUGACAGUCAUCAGGAGUGGUGUUAAACCGCGUAAGGCUGUUCGAAUUCUCCUGAACAAGAAAACGGCUCACUCUUUUGAGCAGGUGCUCACAGACAUCACUGACGCCAUUAAACUGGACUCCGGGGCCGUGAAGAGACUCUACACUCUGGAAGGCAAACAAAUUAUAUGUUUGCAGGAUUUCUUUGGAGAUGAUGACGUUUUCAUCGCGUGCGGCCCUGAGAAGUACCGUUAUGCACAGGAUGAUUUUGUGUUGGAUCACAGUGAAUGUCAGGUGAUCAAGUCCUCUUAUUCUGCUCGCUCUGCUCCCCCUGUGAGAUACUCUGGAAGUAAAAGUCCAGGAACUGGCCGUCGCAGUAAAUCCCCUGGAUCUGUAAACGGUGCACCCAACAGCCAAAUCACUACCCCCAAAUCCGCCAAAUCCUCCAGCUCGUCCCCGACCAGCCCCCGCAGUAUGCGCAACUUCAAGAUUCCGACACAUCACUCCUCCGCAGGCAAUGUGAACGGCUCCUCUGAGACGCCUCAGCAUCAUAACAACAGCUUGAGCCCUGAAGUUAACGGAAACAGGAACCUUGCUGCUUCCACUAUUUUGGACAAGUACAAAAUUGGCAAAGUUAUCGGUGAUGGAAACUUUGCUGUGGUGAAGGAAUGUGUUGAACGAUCCACUGGAAAGGAGUUUGCACUGAAGAUCAUCGAUAAAAACAAAUGCAGAGGCAAAGAGCACCUGAUUGAGAAUGAGGUGGCAGUGCUGAGGCGAGUUAAACAUCCUAACAUCAUCAUGCUGAUUGAGGAGGUGGAUACGCCUGCUGAGCUCUAUCUGGUCAUGGAACUUGUGAAGGGUGGAGAUCUGUUUGAUGCAAUCACCUCCUCAACCAAAUACACUGAAAAAGAUGCCAGCGUGAUGGUGUUUGACCUGGCAGCAGCUCUCAAAUAUCUACACAGAAUGUGCAUCGUUCAUCGAGACAUCAAACCUGAAAAUUUACUGGUGUGUGAGUACCCUAAUGGUACAAAGUCUUUGAAGUUGGGGGAUUUUGGCUUGGCGACAGUGGUUGAAGGGCCGCUGUACACUGUUUGUGGAACACCGACUUAUGUUGCCCCGGAAAUCAUAGCUGAGUCAGGCUACGGGCUGAAAGUGGACAUCUGGGCAGCUGGAGUGAUUACUUACAUCCUACUGUGUGGCUUCCCACCUUUCCGCAGUGAGAAUAAUCUACAGGAGGACCUAUUUGAUCAGAUCCUGCUGGGGCAUUUAGAGUUCCCCUCACCAUUCUGGGACAAUAUCUCUGAUUCUGCUAAAGAGUUGAUUGGUCACAUGCUGCAGGUGAAUGUGGAGGCCAGAUACACAGCGGAAGAUGUGCUCUCUCACCCCUGGGUCACAGAGGAUGCAGCAAUGGAAAACAACAUGAAGAUGGAGGUGGCAGGUAAACUCAAAAAGCACUUUAACUCUGUGCAGAAACAGAGCAACACUUCUGCUGGAGUUUCGGUUAUCAUGAACACAGCUCUAGAUAAGGAAACUAUCCAGCUGUCCCACCGCCGCCAGGACCGCAACCCUCCUCGUCCAGAAAAGAGACCCUCCUCCACCAACCCAGAAAGACGACGUUCCAACAGGGGACGCUCAUCUGUCCAGUCGGAGGACUCUAGAAGUGCUGCUCCCAUUGAGCCUGCAACCUCAGCAAACCCCAGUGCACCAGCAGCACUCCCUUCUGACCCUUCUCCGCAAUUCCAUGAAUGCAAUACUGAGUCUGAGGCCAGUAAAGACCUCCUGAAGGAAGAAUAACUCUAUCUUUAAGGAAACAAUGGAGACAAUUCCACAUAUACAUGCUUAAGUAAAUAAGUACAUAAACUCUUGAGUACAAAUCAUUCUAGCUAUAGGUUGGAAUACACUGCAUGACUUCUGCCCAGAUUUAUGCACUGAUUUACAGUCUAGAGGAGGCAAGAGUAGGCAAGACAAUUGUGUAGUGAUUGAUUUUAGUUUUAAGCUUUUAAUUGAGUUUACAUCUUGUAGUUAUGACCUUUUUCAUAGAAUUUUAGGCUUGUCUUGUGAUCCUGCUUCAUUUUCUCAAAUCAGGAUUGUGUUUAUAUUUUUUAUGGUUAUUUAUUUUUUAUUUUUUUGCAGAAUUUUGAGUUUGCAAUUCAGAUAUUUUCACUUUUUUUUUUUGAGACAAGAUAUUCUCCACCAAAGUUGGAGUUUACAUAUUGCAAUUUAUUAUUUGUAGUAUUUCAGUAUUUAGUUUUUAUUUUGAGCGUCAGGCCUUGAUGCCCAAUUUCGAUUAUUUGCCUAUGUAUGAUUUGUUUGCCUGUCCAUUUACACAUUCUUUUAAUUGUGGCUAUAAUAAAUUAUCAGAUGGGUAUUUUGAGCUGAAACUCUACAAACAUUUUCUGGUGACACAAACGACUUAUACUAAACCUUGAAAAGGGGGUAAAAUAGGUGCCCUUUAAGUUAAUUAUGAAAAAAGCCUUAAGUUAUAAACAGCAUAUGUAGAACAACUGACUAUUGAACGCAUUCAAAAAUUCCUUUAAAUAAUCAAUGAUUUUUUGAUAUUCUCUGACUGGAUGAAGUCAUAUAUUCUAAAGAACAAAAAUACCAGCAUUUGUGCCCAGUUUUUCAGUGAAAUCAACUUAUAUCUCCAGACUUUUAGCAAGUAGUAGUCAGCUUGUGUUCAUUCAGUAAAUUGGGUCAAAAAAAAUCUGGGCAAAAAUCAUGUAGUAUUUCAGCCAAGUGUAAUACUGUUUUGGUUGUCUGCUUGUCUCCCUGCUUUUUUUCUUCCAGUUUGGCUUCCCUUUCCAGCACCCAAGAGUGGAUUUGAAGACUUUGUGUGAUUGAUUGUAUAUAAGUGCAUUGGAAUGCAAGGAUCCACUCUGCUUUUACUGAAGUGAUCAGCUCACAUCUUGGUUAUGAAUAGCAAACAUGUGGACUUUAGGGUGGAUGCGACUGGAAAGAAAGAUACUGGCAAGAAACUUGUCCUGCUGAAACUUGAACGUAUUUUUUUUGUCAAGUGUAUGUUUGAACAUAGACUGCUUGACCUUUUGACUCUGUUGGAGAAACGCAAGAAAGCGAUUCACGUUUGUGGGUGUGUGUGUGUUUUCUUAAGAGGGUGUGCCGAACACGUCUGUGUUCUGGAGUCAUUUUGCAGUAGUUUAGAGUUGCCUUUAAAUGAACCAGCGAAGCAAGACAUCCUUAGGGAUUGUUUAUAGAAUUUGCUAAUUUAUUUGUACAGAGUAGACAUGUUGUGGGAUUGUAUUUUAGAAUAGUUUGACAAUUUUUCGAGCCAGCCUCAUUAGGUGCACGAUAUUCUGAUUUUUCUGUCACAAUAGUGUUAGAUUAUACAAUCUGUCUUGGAUUUGGCAUAUAUUGCUCUGUGUAUUAUCUCUUUGCUUAACACGUCUCUUAUUUCUUGGAACUGUCAGCCAUAAAAGACAGCAAUGGAGCUUGGUAAUAAUGUAUUUGACAUGAUUCAAAUGUUUUUGGAAAGGUUUUGAGAAAUGUGGCAGCAUUCUAUUUCAUCGCUGGAAGGUUAGAUUUCAUGUUUGUUAGAUGUCAUUUUCUAUUAGUGUUCUUUAUCAUCACAUAAUCAAUGAAAUGCAAUAAAAUGAUGUUGCGGUUGUU